rnacentral:tRNA from 1 species
GAGGGUAUAGCUCAGUGGUAGUGUGUAUGUUUAGCAUGUGGGAGGUCCUGGGUUCAAUCCCCAGUGCCUCCA